UACGUAGGGUGCUAGCGUUGCUCGGAAUCACUGGGCGUAAAGGGUGCGUAGGCGGGUCUUUAAGUCAGGGGUGAAAUCCUGGAGCUCAACUCCAGAACUGCCUUUGAUACUGAAGAUCUUGAGUUCGGGAGAGGUGAGUGGAACUGCGAGUGUAGAGGUGAAAUUCGUAGAUAUUCGCAAGAACACCAGUGGCGAAGGCGGCUCACUGGCCCGAUACUGACGCUGAUGCACGAAAGCGUGGGGAGCAAACAGG
rnacentral:rRNA from 1 species